rnacentral:misc_RNA from 1 species
GAUGAAGAACGUAGCGAAAUGCGAUACGUAAUGUGAAUUGCAGAAUUCAGUGAAUCAUCGAGUCUUUGAACGCACAUUGCGCCCCCUGGUAUUCCGGGGGGCAUGCCUGUCCGAGCGUCAUUGUUGCCCUCAAGCACGGCUUGUGUGUUGGGCCUCCGUCCUCCUCCCGGGGGACGGGCCCGAAAGGCAGCGGCGGCACCGCGUCCGGUCCUCGAGCGUAUGGGGCUUCGUCACCCGCUCUUGUAGGCCCGGCCGGCGCUUGCCGACACAUCAAUCUUUUUUCCAGGUUGACCUCGGAUCAGGUAGGGAUACCCGCUGAACUUAAGCAUAUCAAUAAGCGGAGGA